UACAGAGGAUGCAAGCGUUAUCCGGAAUGAUUGGGUGUAAAGCGUCUGUAGGUGGCUUUUUAAGUCCGCCGUCAAAUCCCAGGGCUCAACUCUGGACAGGCGGUGGAAACUACCAAGCUGGAGUACGGUAGGGGCAGAGGGAAUUUCCGGUGGAGCGGUGAAAUGCGUAGAGAUCGGAAGGAACAUCAGUGGCGAAAGCGGCUUCCUGGACCAGUACCGACGUUCAGGCACGAAAGCGUGGGGAGCAAACAGG
rnacentral:rRNA from 1 species